rnacentral:tRNA from 1 species
GCCGAGGUGGUGAAAUGGCAGACACGCUAGUUUCAGGUACUAGUGCCCGCAAGGGCGUAGGGGUUCAACUCCCCUCCUCGGCA